UUUGGAAGGAAGAGGCCGGCAGAUCGCUUGAGCUCAGGAGUUCAAGACCAGCCUGACCAACAUGGCGAAACCCCACCUCUACUAAAAAUACAAAAAUUAGCCAGGUGUGGUGGUGUGUGCCUAUAAUCCCAGCUACUCGGGAGGCUGAGGAAGGAGAAUCGCUUGAACCCAGGAGGCAGAGGUUGCAGUGAGCCGAGAUGGUGCCACUGCACUCCAGCUUGGGUGACAGAGCGAGACUCUGUCUCAAAAAAUAAAAAAUAAGCUAGUGGACUUUGAGCAAAGCAGACUGUUCGCCACAAUGUGGGUGGGCCUCACCUGAUCAGUUGAAGUACUGAAUAGAACAAACCUCGCUCUACCCUGAGCAAGAAGAAAUUCUGCCAGCAGACCACUUUUGGACUCAAACUGCAAAUCCUGAAUCUCCAGCUUGCCAGCCUACUCCACCUGAUUUAGCAGAUUUUGGACCCACCAAGCCUCCAUAAUUCUAGACAGAAGACAAGGCACAGACACAGAGGAGAAGCCGUAUGAAGAUGAAGGAAAUGACUGGAGUUAUGAGCCAAGGAACGCCUGGAACCACCAGAAAUUGGAAGAGGGAAGAAAAAAAUCUCCCCUAGAGAAUCUUGUUCAGAGGGAGCGUAGCCCUGCCAUCACCUUGAUUCCAGACUCUUGUCGUACAGAACUGUUAGAGAAUAAAUUUCUGUUGUUUUAAACCACCAAAUUUGUGGGAAUUUUUACAGGAGCCCCAAAAAACUAAUACAUGUACCUCUCUGCAUAGUUGGUAGAUCAAGCCAACAAAAAGUAAUAAAAACAUACAAAAGAUUUCAAGAGCAUAGUCAAGCAGUUUUUAUCUAAUGAGCAUAUAAGCAAUCCUGCACUCAAUUAUUUGUUAAAAUAUCCCUUAUUUUUCAUUGCACAUGAAUCAUCUAUAUAAAUUUGAGUCAUAUUGUAACAAAAUAAUUUGUCAAUAUUG
rnacentral:lncRNA from 10 species